AUUCACUCAUUUUGCUCCGUACGUAGACUUCUAGUGAAAUAUCUUAAAAGACUUAUAUUUAGAAACGGAGGGAGUAUAACAUAACAUUUUAUUAGAAAGUGAUCAAUGCGACCCAAAUCAAAAGAAUGGAAGGUGCGGUCAGAAGUAAGUACAUCAAGAUGAGUCCGAAUAAAACCAAAAAGGAGAUAAAAAUACAACCAAUCGGACUGGAAAUAAACACAAACGUCUCGCCAUUAUCGGAUGUUCCCUCAGAAAAUGAUGAUGAUAUCAUCAGUUGAACUUGCUGCAGAGCUUGCGGACCUCUCCCUGUGUGCCGGUGAGCACAUUGACCUCCCCGAGCUUGAUCAACGCCUGCGGGAAGAGCCAACGGAAGUGGUCGGUAUUGGCGAGCCUGUCGACCAUCCAACGCGUGGAGCCGUCGCCGUAAAGGUUUUGGUCGACCAUGAGCGCGCCACGGCGGCGCUGCAGCAUCUUGUAGGUUUCUGCUCGUUCUAACAUUGCAAUGCAUCCGGUUCUACUAGUAAUACAAGUAGUAAAUGUCACACUACGUAAUUGACCUGAUAAAUCCGUGUCAUCUGAUUACACAUAACUUGACUUUUUUGGAUGCAGUUUGUAAAAGUUUUUGGCAUAACUAGCGGUGCGAAAUAUCUUUGGUUUAUCACGAUCACGCUCCACCAUUACAGAUUUACAAUAGAUCCAAUGUUAAUUAUCAUGUUCUACUAAUUUAGUACUCCCUCCGUCCGAAAAUACUUGUCCUAGAGAUGAAUGUAUCUAGAUUUAUUUUAGUUAUAGAUACAUCAAUUAUAUUCAUUUCUAGGACAAGUAUUUCCGAACGGAGGAAGUACAUUACAAGGACUUUUUCUGCUAAUAUAAUUUUUUCAUACUGUCUUUUUAGAAAGACACGUGCAUAUAAUUAUUACGUACAAUCAAACGCUAUUUAAACAACUUGAAUGUGUAAAAUGCCAAGCUAGCCACCUAGGAAAAAUCGACGGCGUGAGGCGUGAGCUCUAGGGCGCCGGUGGCCAUAGGUCCGAGCGGCCAGCGGUGCUCACGGCCAAUGUUCAAGAGGGCACCUGCGGGCAACGGAGGGAGUAGAUCUUUUAUAUAUAAUAGUAGAGAUAUGUGACUGAAACGUAUAUAUGUGCACAACAUCUAUCCUGUUAUUGUUGAUCUCGAUCAUAUAAGAUAACAUUUUAUUAGAAAGUAAUCAAUGCGACGCACAUCAAAAGAAUGGAAGGUGCGGUCAGAAGUAAGUACAUCAAGAUGAGUCCGAAUAAAACCAAAAAGGAGAUAAAAAUACAACCAAUCCGACUGGAAAUAAACACAAAAGUCUCGCCCUUAUCGGAUGUUUCCUCAGAAAAUGAUGAUGAUAUCAUCAGUUGAACUUGCUGCAGAGCUUGCGGACCUCUCCCUGUGUGCCGGUGAGCACGUUGACCUCCCCGAGCUUCACGAGCGCCUGCGGGAAGAGCCAACGGAAAUGGUCGGUAUUGGCGAGCCUGUCGACCAUCCAACGCGUGGAGCCGUCGCCGUAGAGGUUUUGGUCGACCAUGAGCGCGCCGCGGCGGCGCUGCAACAUCUUGUAGAAGCUGUUGUCCAGCUUGGACGCGCUGGACCGGUCGUCUAGAAACACGAUGUUGUUAUCGGAUGAUGCCGUGUUAGGGCACACAUACGUCUUGUAUAUGGACGCUAGCUCCGGGUCCAUGCUCGGGUCCGUUGCACCAGCCUUGCCG
rnacentral:lncRNA from 1 species